CUCCCUUCAAUGAGAGUAGCGAAUAGGUGACAUCUGUAUGACUGUAGUCUGCUUGCAAAAAAAAAAUAAUAAUUAAGAGUUACAGAAGCCUUUCCCCACUUCGCCAAAUUAGAUCUAUACUUCUGCAAAACAGCUCUCUCUCUGUUUUUGCCUGUGUUGAAUCGAAUGUUCUUCUCAGAUCUACCAACCAACCCAUCUGAAUCCAUUUCUAUGGCACUCUAUGAGCAUUCCGAACUACAUAUCAGUCACCAACCAAUGGAAUCUUUUCUGGUGAUGGAAGCUCUUUUGGACAUGCUAAAGGAUGGAAAAUAUCUUGAUACCUAUAUUGUGAUUCAAACUAUGAGAUGCUAUUUGAACUGUGAUGAUAUUGAUCGUGGUGUGCAAACCCCUGAUGACUAUCUGAAGUUAGGGAAGCUUCCUGCACCAGAACUCAUAACAUAAAUGUGAUAUGGAGUUGUGGAGUUGCUAAGAUGAUGUAUCUCAUAACAUAAAUGUGAUAUGUAGUGAUGUGAAAAUGCUCGUUGGGCUUUGCUGCUAAAUUUGGGUCAGCAAGUGUAGCUGUUCUAGGAUAUCAAGAAGGCGCUAUUAAGACAAUUGCAGAUAAGGUUGCAGCAUAAAUGAGGCAAAGCUUGUAGACAAAAUAUUCUUAGGUUCUGUAUGCAUUAUUAUGUGGUUGCUUGAAGUUGGCAGUUGAUUUUCAUGUUUUACAGUAUUAGUGAAAUGCACUUGUUUCUUUCAUAUGUAGAGAAAUCUGAAGUUGUAAUUGAAUGGUUUCUGGAAUUUUAUAAUUAAAUAUUUUGGAAUGAUUAAUUUUG